rnacentral:rRNA from 1 species
GUUUGAUCCUGGCUCAGAUUGAACGCUGGCGGCAUGCCUAACACAUGCAAGUCGAACGCGAAAGCGCCUUCGGGUGUGAGUAGAGUGGCGGACGGGUGAGUAACGCGUGGGAAUCUGCCCUGCAGUGGGGGACAACCCGAGGAAACUCGGGCUAAUACCGCAUACGUCCUAUGGGAGAAAGGGGGCCUUCGGGCUCUCGCUGCAGGAUGAGCCCGCGUCCGAUUAGCUUGUUGGUGGGGUAACGGCCCACCAAGGCUGCGAUCGGUAGCUGGUCUGAGAGGAUGAUCAGCCACACUGGGACUGAGACACGGCCCAGACUCCUACGGGAGGCAGCAGUGGGGAAUAUUGGACAAUGGGCGAAAGCCUGAUCCAGCAAUGCCGCGUGUGUGAAGAAGGCCUGCGGGUUGUAAAGCACUUUCAGUGGGGAAGAAAAGCGCGAGGUUAAUACCCUUGUGUGUUGACGUUACCCACAGAAGAAGCACCGGCUAACUCCGUGCCAGCAGCCGCGGUAAUACGGAGGGUGCAAGCGUUAAUCGGAAUCACUGGGCGUAAAGCGCACGUAGGCGGCUAGGUCAGUCAGAUGUGAAAGCCCCGGGCUCAACCUGGGAACUGCAUUUGAUACUGCCUGGCUUGAGUAUGGUAGAGGGAGGUGGAAUUCCAGGUGUAGCGGUGAAAUGGGUAGAUAUCUGGAAGAACACCGGUGGCGAAGGCGACUUUCUGGACUGAUACUGACGCUGAGGCACGAAAGCUAGGGGAGCGAACAGGAUUAGAUACCCUGGUAGUCCUAGCCGUAAACGGUGUGCACUAGGUGUGGGGGGAAUUGACCCCUUCCGUGCCGUAGCUAACGCGUUAAGUGCACCGCCUGGGGAGUACUGUCGCAAGGCAGAAACUCAAAGAAAUUGACGGGGACCCGCACAAGCGGAGGAGCAUGUGGCUUAAUUCGAUGCAACGCGAAGAACCUUACCAGGGCUUGACAUCUAGCUGCACGCCCCCCGAAAGGGGGGAAGCCUUUGAGGGUGCUAGACAGGUGCUGCAUGGCUGUCGUCAGUUCGUGCCGUGAGGUGUUGGGUUAAGUCUCGCAACGAACGCAACCCCUGUGCUUAGUUGCCCCUCACCGCUUCGGCGGUGAAGCACUCUAAGCAGACUGCCUGUCACAACAGGAGGAAGGUGGGGAUGACGUCAAGUCAGCAUGGCCCUUACGUCCUGGGCUGCACACGUGCUACAAUGGUCGGUACAGUGGGAUGCAAUGCCGCGAGGUGGAGCCAAUCCCCAAAACCGGCCCCAGUUCGGAUUGGAGUCUGCAACUCGACUCCAUGAAGUCGGAUUCGCUAGUAAUGCCGUAUCAGCUACGACGGCGUGAAUACGUUCCCGGGUCUUGUACACACCGCCCGUCACAUCACGAAAGCCGUCUGCACCCGAAG